GCUGGCGGCGUGCCUAAUACCUGCAAGUCGAGCCGUCAGAACGGAACUUGCUCCCGGAUGUUAGCGGCGGACGGGUGAGUAACACGUGGGUAACCUGCCUGUAAGACUGGGAUAACUCCGGGAAACCGGAGCUAAUACCGGAUAGUUCCUUGAACCGCAUGGUUCAAGGAUGAAAGACGGUUUCGGCUGUCACUUACAGAUGGACCCGCGGCGCAUUAGCUAGUUGGUGAGGUAACGGCUCACCAAGGCGACGAUGCGUAGCCGACCUGAGAGGGUGAUCGGCCACACUGGGACUGAGACACGGCCCAGACUCCUACGGGAGGCAGCAGUAGGGAAUCUUCCGCAAUGGACGAAAGUCUGACGGAGCAACGCCGCGUGAGUGAUGAAGGUUUUCGGAUCGUAAAGCUCUGUUGUUAGGGAAGAACAAGUGCAAGAGUAACUGCUUGCACCUUGACGGUACCUAACCAGAAAGCCACGGCUAACUACGUGCCAGCAGCCGCGGUAAUACGUAGGUGGCAAGCGUUGUCCGGAAUUAUUGGCGUAAAGGCUCGCA
rnacentral:rRNA from 1 species